UUGGGACACAAGUCAUAAGGGGCCCUUUCAGUACCACUUAUCCCUGCAGCCUGGGUAGGGGAGGCAUGGGAAUGUCAGUCCUCACCACCCACUCCUUCUAGGCAGAUGCUCCCAAUGCCCCCUCCACCCAGCCCCAAGGCCCAGCUACAUGACUGGAGUUUUCAUGAGCCUCCAGUCCUCCCAAGUGGUCCUUCCAGCACCUUCCACAGGUCUCCCCAGCCAUCCUGCACCCCCUACACCAGCCACGUAACUAUUCAUGCAUUCUUGGUAAAUCCCUGGUACAAUCUAAUCUGGACCAACAUUUCUACAGAAGCCCUGUGAUUACUUCACUCCUGUGUUCAAAUCCUCCAUUUGCUCCUCUCACCCACUACAAAUCCCCAAAUCCUCCAGCUAGAAUUGACUUCCAAAAUCCAGCUGCGAUGGGAAGGGUGAGCCAGACUCCUCCCCUUCCCCAGCUGCUCAUCCUCAGGCAAGACACUUCACCACUUGAGCCUUGGUUUUCUCAUCUGUGAAAUGGGGAUGAUAAACCAAAAUUAAAAUUCUAAGCCCCUCGACCACAUGAAUGAACCCGUCCUCUCAGGAAGGCUAUUGAUGGCAAUUUGGAAUCUCGGCAGUGCCAAAGCUAACCUGAAAAACUAAUUCAGGCCAUGCUGGGAAGGGUAGGGGGCUGGACAUACCUGAUUCUACCCUCCUCCCCUUUGGAAUUAUUGAUAGACCCUUUAAGUCUGACAAGAAACAUUUACAAUCUAUUUUCUCCAAAACCUGCUACCUGGAGGCUUCACCUGCAUAAUAAAACCUUGGUCUCCACAACCACUUAUCUUAACCCAGACAUUUCUAAGUCUUUAGACAAUAACUUAACUCUUUCAACCAAUUGCCAAACAGAAAAUCUUCGAAUCCACCUAUGGCUUGGAAGCCAUCCCCACUUCCAGUUGUCCUGCCUUUUCUGGACCAAACCAAUGUACAUCUUACAUGUAUUUGAUGUCUCAUGUCUCCCUAAUAUGUAUAAAACUAAGCUGUACCCCAACCACCUUGGGCACAUGUUCUCAGGAUCUCCUGAGGGCUGAGUCAUGGGCCAGUGGCCACUCAUAUUUGGCUCAGAAUAAAUCUCUUUAAAUAUU